rnacentral:rRNA from 1 species
AUCAACGCUGGCGGCGUGCCUAACACAUGCAAGUCGAGCGAGAAAGGGGUAGCAAUAUCCCGAGUACAGCGGCGCACGGGUGAGUAACACGUGGGUAAUCUGCCCUGGAGUGGGGAAUAACACCGGGAAACCGGUGCUAAUACCGCAUACGAUCACGAUGUCUGCGGACGUUGUGAUGAAAGGAGCAAUUCGCUCCAGGAGGAGCCCGCGGCUGAUUAGCUAGUUGGUGAGGUAAUGGCCCACCAAGGCUACGAUCAGUAUCCGGUCUGAGAGGACGGCCGGACACACUGGAACUGAGACACGGUCCAGACUCCUACGGGAGGCAGCAGUGGGGAAUUUUUGGCAAUGGGGGCAACCCUGACCAAGCAACGCCGCGUGGAUGAUGAAGUCUCUUGGGACGUAAAAUCCUUUCGACGGGGACGAAAGCCGCAAGGCCUGACGGUACCCGUAGAAGAAGCCCCGGCUAACUCCGU